CCAUAAAACAGGAAUCAAAUGAGGCCA
rnacentral:piRNA from 1 species